GUGUCAGCAGCCGCGGUAAAACGUAGGUACCGAGCGUUAUCCGGAUUUACUGGGCGUAAAGCGUGUUCAGGCGGUCUAGCAAGUCGGGCAUGAAAUCUCUGGGCUCAACCCGGAGGGGUUGUCCGAUACUGCUGGGCUUGAGGGCAGCAGAGGGUGGUGGAAUUCCGGGUGUAGUGGUGAAAUGCGUAGAUAUCCGGAGGAACACCAGUGGCGAAGGCGGCCACCUGGGCUGUACCUGACGCUCAAACACGAAAGCUAGGGGAGCGAACGGGAUUAGAUACCCCCGUAGUCC
rnacentral:rRNA from 1 species